rnacentral:rRNA from 1 species
AAAUUGAAGAGUUUGAUCAUGGCUCAGAUUGAACGCUGGCGGCAGGCCUAACACAUGCAAGUCGAGCGGAAACGAGUUAUCAGAACCUUCGGGGGACGAUAACGGCGUCGAGCGGCGGACGGGUGAGUAAUGCCUAGGAAAUUGCCCUGAUGUGGGGGAUAACCAUUGGAAACGAUGGCUAAGACCGCAUGAUGCCGACGGGACAAAGAGGGGGACCUUCGG